rnacentral:rRNA from 1 species
AUACGUAGGUGACAAGCGUUAUCCGGAUUUACUGGGCGUAAAGGGCGUGUAGGCGGUCUUGCAAGUCAGAAGUGAAAUUCCUGAGCUCAACUCGGGCGCUGCUUCUGAAACUGCAGGACUUGAGUGCUGGGGGGAUAGCGGAAUUCCUAGUGGAGCGGUAAAAUGCGCAGAUAUUAGGAAGAACACCGGUGGCGAAGGCGGCUAUCUGGACAGUAAUUGACGCUGAGGCGCGAAAGCGUGGGGAGCAAACAGGAUUAGAUACCCUGGUAGUCCACGCCGUAAACGAUGAUUACUAGGUGUGGGGGGACUGACCCCCUCCGUGCCGCAGUUAACACAAUAAGUAAUCCACCUGGGGAGUACGACCGCAAGGUUGAAACUCAAAGGAAUUGACGGGG